UCCUGGCUCAGAUUGAACGCUGGCGGCAGGCCUAACCUCUCAAAUCGAGCGGUAGAGAGAAGCUUGCUUCUCUUGAGAGCCUUAGACGGGUGAGUAAAGCCUAGGAAUCUGCCUGGUAGUGGGGGAUAACGUUCGGAAACGGACGCUAAUACCGCAUACGUCCUACGGGAGAAAGCAGGGGACCUUCGGGCCUUGCGCUAUCAGAUGAGCCUAGGUCGGAUUAGCUAGUUGGUGAGGUAAUGGCUCACCAAGGCGACGAUCCGUAACUGGUCUGAGAGGAUGAUCAGUCACACUGGAACUGAGACACGGUCCAGACUCCUACGGGAGGCAGCAGUGGGGAAUAUUGGACAAUGGGCGAAAGCCUGAUCCAGCCAUGCCGCGUGUGUGAAGAAGGUCUUCGGAUUGUAAAGCACUUUAAGUUGGGAGGAAGGGCAUUAACCUAAUACGUUAGUGUUUUGACGUUACCGACAGAAUAAGCACCGGCUAACUCUGUGCCAGCAGCCGCGGUAAUACAGAGGGUGCAAGCGUUAAUCGGAAUUACUGGGCGUAAAGCGCGCGUAGGUGGUUUGUUAAGUUGGAUGUGAAAUCCCCGGGCUCNACNUGGGAACUGCAUUCAAAACUGACUGACUAGAGUAUGGUAGAGGGUGGUGGA
rnacentral:rRNA from 1 species